rnacentral:rRNA from 1 species
CAGCAGCCGCGGGAAAACGAAGGGUGCAAGCGUUACUCGGAAUUACUGGGCGUAAAGCGUGUGUAGGUGGUUGUUUAAGUCUGUCGUGAAAGCCCUGGGCUCAACCUGGGAAUUGCGAUGGAUACUGGGCGACUAGAGUGCGGUAGAGGAUAGUGGAAUUUCCGGUGUAGCAGUGAAAUGCGUAGAGAUCGGAAGGAACAUCUGUGGCGAAGGCGACUAUCUGGGCCAACACUGACACUGAGACACGAAAGCGUGGGGAGCAAACAGGAUUAGAUACCCGGUAGUACCUGUCUCUUAUACC